rnacentral:misc_RNA from 1 species
CAACCCUCAAGCCCCCUGUGGACUUGGUGUUGGGGACCGGCGACAGCUCUCUGUCUGUCGCCGCCCCCUAAAUGAAUUGGCGGCCCCGUCGCGGCCCUCCUCUGCGUAGUAGCUAACACCUCGCAACAGGAGCCCGGCGGCGGCCACUGCCGUAAAACACCCCAAACUUUUUUAG